GUAAAGAAGAUUCCAGCUCUCUCAUUCAGAGCUUGCAGGGAAAGUGAGCUUCUCAGCCAAAAAAGAAGUCUUAGAGUCUUCUCUCACAAUAUUUAUUACCCAGAUAACAUGUUUGAGUUCCUCAGAGAAGACAUACAGAGAGACCUAACAUCCUUCCUAGAAUAACUGUGGUAUUAAAAUGGAGUCUCAUCUAGAACUGGGCCAAAGGAAAUUAAAUGCAACAUUAAGCCUUGGGGGAGAAAGGCUCAAAGGAAGCCUGUCCUGCAGAAGACAUGGAGACCCUACUUUUACUGAAGAUACUGGAAGAGGAAGAUAAUUCAAGGUGCACAGAUGGUUGGCCUGAAUAUUUUACUUUGCUCUCCCGCCUCCCCCUUCUUUGAAUAAAGGAAUUUUGAAGGCUCCAAAUAUUUCAGCUUGGAAGAAACAUGCCUGAAUUUGUAGCAGUACAAAAGUACCCAAGCAACCUUCAUAUUUAUUGAAGGCUUAUGUGAAGCUAUUUCUCAGUAUAU